UAUGCUUUGGGGAGCUGUAAGUAAGCUUUGAUCCAGAGAUUUCCGAAUGGGGAAACCCAGCACGAGUUAUGUCGUGUUAUCUGCAUGUGAAUACAUAGCAUGCAAGAAGGCAGACCCGGAGAACUGAAACAUCUUAGUACCCGGAGGAAGAGAAAGAAAAAUCGAUUCCCUGAGUAGCGGCGAGCGAAACGGGAAGAGCCCAAACCAAUAAGCUUGCUUAUUGGGGUUGUAGGACACUCUGUACGGAGUUACAAAAGAAUUUGUUAGACGAAUAACCUGGAAAGGUUAAUCAGAGAAG
rnacentral:rRNA from 1 species